GGAGGGUAUAGCUUAGUGGUAGAGUGCAUGCCUAGCAUGCAUGAGGUCCUGGGUUCAAUCCCCAGUACCUCCA
rnacentral:tRNA from 1 species